GACGAACGCUGGCGGCGUGCUUAAUACAUGCAAGUCGAGCGAGGUUACUGUUUUGGAUCCCUUCGGGGUGAAGAAGCUUUAACCUAGCGGCGGACGGGUGAGUAACGCGUGGGUAACCUACCCCAAAGUCCGGGAUAACAGCGGGAAACCGCUGCUAAUACCGGAUGCCUUUACCUUGGGGCAUCUUGAGGUAAAGAAAGGCAACGCUUUGGGAUGGGCCCGCGUCCCAUUAGCUAGUUGGUGAGGUAACGGCUCACCAAGGCGACGAUGGGUAGCCGGCCUGAGAGGGUGGACGGCCACACUGGGACUGAGACACGGCCCAGACUCCUACGGGAGGCAGCAGUAGGGAAUAUUGCGCAAUGGACGGAAGUCUGACGCAGCGACGCCGCGUGAGCGAUGAAGGUCUUCGGAUCGUAAAGCUCUGUCCUUGGGGAAGAAGGUCUUCGGACUUGACGGUACCCAAGAAGAAAGCCCCGGUAACUACGUG
rnacentral:rRNA from 1 species